CGUGUGGCGGUUUCUCGGAUGGCGCCCGCCCGCAACAAACAUUUGCGAGCGUGAUUUUCUCCCGUUUUGGACGACUGCUCGAUUCAUGCCGCCAUUUUUGACGCUCAUAAAGGCCUCCCAGCCAGCACCCUUCUAUACAAAGCAAGCAGGAGGCUCCUGAGCCAUCUCAGUGAUGUUGAGGAUGCUGAGGAAGAGUAGUCCCAAAUCAGGUUUUUUUGUAGGAAACCAGUGAGCAGGU